rnacentral:rRNA from 1 species
AUUGAACGCUGGCGGCAGGCCUAACACAUGCAAGUCGAAUGGUAACAGGAAACAGCUUGCUGUUUCGCUGACGAGUGGCGGACGGGUGAGUAAUGUCUGGGAAACUGCCUGAUGGAGGGGGAUAACUACUGGAAACGGUAGCUAAUACCGCAUAACGUCGCAAGACCAAAGAGGGGGACCUUCGGGCCUCUUGCCAUCAGAUGUGCCCAGAUGGGAUUAGCUAGUAGGUGGGGUAACGGCUCACCUAGGCGACGAUCCCUAGCUGGUCUGAGAGGAUGACCAGCCACACUGGAACUGAGACACGGUCCAGACCCCUACGGGAGGCAGCAGUGGGGAAUAUUGCACAAUGGGCGCAAGCCUGAUGCAGCCAUGCCGCGUGUAUGAAGAAGGCCUUCGGGUUGUAAAGUACUUUCAGCGGGGAGGAAGGGAGUAAAGUUAAUACCUUUGCUCAUUGACGUUACCCGCAGAAGAAGCACCGGCUAACUCCGUG